rfam:Nicotiana attenuata strain TT chromosome 7, whole genome shotgun sequence.
UGGACAGAUUAUUGUAUUCGACUGUAUUCACGGCGUGAGAAAGGGGAUUACACUAUUUUUAAACGGAAAGUGAAUCAAUUAACAUAAUAGACUCCU